rnacentral:rRNA from 1 species
CCUACGGGAGGCAGCAGUGAGGAAUAUUGGUCAAUGGGCGUAAGCCUGAACCAGCCAAGUCGCGUGAGGGAUGAAGGUUCUAUGGAUCGUAAACCUCUUUUAUAAGGGAAUAAAGUGUGGGUCGUGUACUAUUUUGUAUGUACAUUAUGAAUAAGGAUCGGCUAACUCCGUGCCAGCAGCCGCGGUAAUACGGAGGAUCCGAGCGUUAUCCGGAUUUAUUGGGUUUAAAGGGUGCGUAGGCGGCCUUUUAAGUCAGCGGUGAAAGUGUGUGGCUCAACCGUAGAAUUGCAGUUGAAACUGGUGGUCUUGAGUAUGUUUGAGGCAGGCGGAAGGAGUGGUGGAGCGGUGAAAUGCUUAGAUAUCACGCAGAACCCCGAUUGCGAAGGCAGCCUGCCAAGCCAUGACUGACGCUGAUGCACGAAAGCGUGGGGAUCAAACAGGAUUAGAUACCCGAGUAGUC